AGAGUUUGAUCAUGGCUCAGAACGAACGUUGGCGGCGUGCCUAAUACAUGCAAGUCGAGCGAGAAAAGGUUCUUCGGAACCUGAGUACAGCGGCGAAAGGGUGAGUAAUACAUAGAUAACGUACCCCUCGGCUCGGGAUAACCCCACGAAAGCGGGACUAAUACCGAAUAACGACGGAAGAGGACAUCCUCUUCUGUCCAAAGGAUUGCGAAAGCUUUCUUCCGGAGGAGCGGUCUAUGGCCUAUCAGCUAGUUGGUGGGGUAAUGGCCUACCAAAGCUAAGACGGGUAGCCGGACUGAGAGGUUGAACGGCCACAUGGGAACUGAGACACGGUCCCAACACCUACGGGUGGCAGCAGUAGGGAAUCUUGCACAAUGGGCGAAAGCCUGAUGCAGCGACGCCGCGUGGGGGAUGACGGCCUUCGGGUUGUAAACCCCUUUCAUGUGGGAAGAAAUAUGACUUUACCACAGGAAGAAGCACCGGCUAACUCAGUGCCAGCAGCUGCGGUAAUACUGAGGGUGCAAACGUUGUUCGGAAUCACUGGGCGUAAAGCGCGCGUAGGCGGUUCGGCAAAUCGGUUGUGAAAUCCUCCUGCCUAACGGGAGAAUUGCUGCCGAAAAUACCGGGCUAGAGGUUGUCAGGGGCAAGUGGAACUCUUGGUGGAGCGGUGGAAUGCGUAGAUAUCAAGAGGAACGUCGGAGGCGAAGGCGACUCGCUGGGCUUGACCUGACGCUGAGAUGCGAAAGCUAGGGUAGCGAACGGGAUUAGAUACCCCGGUAGUCCUAGCCCUAAACGAUGUCAACUAGACCGGAGGACUUCUGACAGUUUUCCGGUCGGAGCAAAAGUGUUAAGUU
rnacentral:rRNA from 1 species